UAGGGAAUCUUCCGCAAUGGGCGCAAGCCUGACGGAGCAACGCCGCGUGAGUGAUGAAGGCCUUUCGGGUUGUAAAACUCUGUCUUCUGUGAAGAACCAUCCUGUGCAGAGAAAGCUCAGGACCUGACGGUAACAGAGGAGGAAGCCCCGGCUAACUACGUGCCAGCAGCCGCGGUAAUACGUAGGGGGCGAGCGUUGUCCGGAAUCACUGGGCGUAAAGCGCGCGCAGGCGGUCUUUCACGUCCGGGGUGAAAGCCCAGAGCUCAACUCUGGGAUUGCCUUGGAUACGGGGAGACUUGAGGGUCGGAGAGGCAAGGGGAAUUCCACGUGUAGCGGUGAUAUGCGUAGAGAUGUGGAGGAACACCUGUGGCGAAGGCGCCUUGCUGGCCGAUUUCUGACGCUGAGGCGCGAACGCGUGGGGAGCAAACAGGAUUAGAUACCCUGGUAGUCCACGCCGUAAACGAUGAGUGCUAGGUGUUAGGGGGCCCACCCCUUAGUGCCGAAGCUAACGCAUUAAGCACUCCGCCUGGGGAGUACGGUCGCAAGACUG
rnacentral:rRNA from 1 species